UCAUAUCAAUGUUUAUUUCUGCGUCCGUCCUUACUUCUAAAGCCUUUACGCCACAGUAACAACGUUCUCACGAAUCCGUCGCGCCGUGAAUUCCCUCUCCUUCGCGCCAAAUUAGCCUCCCACUGCUCGCACCAACGGUGCUGUAUCAGUCCCUCCGCCGUCUCCAAUUCUACAGGUUCUGAGACUUCGGCUGUGAGUGAUGGUACCACCGACUUGCUGGAAAGCGUGAUAGUCUACGACUUGAAUGGAAAUGGAAUCCCCAUUUCUGACUUGUGGAAAGAUAGGAAGGCUGUGGUAGCAUUUGCUCGUCAUUUCGGAUGUGGUUCUCUGUCGAACAAGGGCAGCCUACCUUGCUUCUGGAAAGAAUUUUGUGCUUGUUUGACAGGAUACCAUGGAUGCUGCUGGUGUGGCGCUUGUUAUAAUUGGGCCUGGCAGUGUUGAUCAGGCAAAAGUUUUCUCAGAGCAAACAAAGUUCAAAGGAGGAGGCAAGGUGGAAUCAUCGUUGCAGGCCCCGGCAAACAUAACAUCUCAUAUAUCCACAAGGACAAAGAAGCAGGCGAUGACCCGGAGAUACAAGAGAUCUUGAAGGCCUGCUGUGUUCAAGACAACUGAGAAGCAUGGUACUUCUGUAGUAAAAAGUAUAUCUGUAUAUACACACAUCUGAAGUUAAAAUACAAAUACAUCUAUUGUUGUCUCACUUGUCUAUAUUAUGUUGUUGAA